rnacentral:rRNA from 1 species
UACGUAGGGGGCAAGCGUUGUCCGGAGUUACUGGGCGUAAAGCGCACGCAGGCGGUCUCUUAAGUUUGGAGUGACAGUUGGUGGCUUAACUGCCAAAGUGCUUCGAAAACUGAGAGACUUGAGGGCUUCAGAGGGACACGGAAUUCCGGGUGGAGUGGUGAAAUGCGUAGAGAUCCGGAGGAACACCAAAGGCAAAGGCAGUGUCCUGGGGAGUACCUGACGCUCAGGUGCGAAAGCCAGGGGAGCGAACGGG